UACCUACGGGACGCAGCAGUGGGGAAUCUUCCGCAAUGGGCGAAAGCCUGACGGAGCAAUGCCGCGUGAGUGAGGAAGGCCUUCGGGUUGUAAAACUCUGUCCUUAUCGAAGAGAGGGGGGUAUGUGAAUAAUGCACUUAUAGGACGGUAGAUAAGGAGGAAGCCCCGGCUAACUACAUGCCAGCAGCCGCGGUAAUACGUAGGGGGCGAGCGUUGUCCGGAAUCACUGGGCGUAAAGGGCGCGUAGGCGGUUUAAUAAGUCAGGGGUGAAAACUGAGGGCUCAACC
rnacentral:rRNA from 1 species